CGCUGGCGGCAGGCCUAACACAUGCAAGUCGAGCGGCAGCRRCUUAACUGAACCUUCGGGGAACGUUAAGGGCGGCGAGCGGCGGACGGGUGAGUAAUGCCUGGGAAUAUGCCCUGAUGUGGGGGAUAACUAUUGGAAACGAUAGCUAAUACCGCAUAAUCUCUUCGGAGCAAAGAGGGGGACCUUCGGGCCUCUCGCGUCAGGAUUAGCCCAGGUGGGAUUAGCUUGUUGGUGAGGUAAUGGCUCACCAAGGCAACGAUCCCUAGCUGGUCUGAGAGGAUGAUCAGCCACACUGGAACUGAGACACGGUCCAGACKCCUACGGGAGGCAGCAGUGGGGAAUAUUGCACAAUGGGGGAAACCCUGAUGCAGCCAUGCCGCGUGUGUGAAGAAGGCCUUCGGGUUGUAAAGCACUUUCAAGUAGGGAGGAAGGUAGUGUAGUUAACACCUGCACUAUUUGACGUUACCUACAGAAGAAGCACCGAGCUAACUCCGUGCCAGCAGCCGCG
rnacentral:rRNA from 1 species